rnacentral:rRNA from 1 species
CCGCCUUGAUCGAAUCGUGCCCUCUCAGUUCCUUGCACGCGGAACCGCUCUCACACCAUGCGUCUCAACUUUGUGCAUCACCGCAGGGGUCCCCUUUGGGGGAGGGCUUGCUUAUCCGCAUAUUACUACAUACGAAGCAAAAUGUUUCUUUUGCGAUCUCUCGCUUCCGGCACAACUUUCAAACGCGGAUCUCUGGGAUCUCUCAUGUAAAAUGAACACUUCAAAGUGCCAUACAUUCUGUGAAUUGCAAAAGUCCCUGAAUCAUCUCAUCUUUGAACGCCUGUUGCACCCCUUGUUAUUCCCAGGGGCCCCCCCGUUUGAGUGUGGGGAAAUCUUCCAAAUCCUUUUUCCUUUGAACCAUUGUGGAAAGGAAAAGGGGUUUUGGACUUGGAGGCUUAAUGCUCGCCCUUUCUUUCGAAAGUGAGCUCCUCUCAAAUGAAUCCGUGGGGUCCGCUUUGCUGAUCCUUGACGUGAUAAAAUGUUUCUACUUUUUGGGUUUAGCUCUGUUCCUUGUAAGCCUACUAAUAACCGUCUCAUUGACAAUGAUGGCGCUCUGGUCUCUUGCCGUCUACAUCGGCGGGAGGCUGGACCCACAAAAAGAAAACCUUGACCUCAAAUCGGGUGAGACUACCCGCUGAACUUAAGCAUAUCAAUAAGCGGAGGAA